AGGACUGUAGCUUAGUGGUAGAGAAUUUGCCUAGGAUGUACAAGGUUCUGGGUUCAAUCCCUAGCACUGUUG
rnacentral:tRNA from 1 species